UAAGGAAUAUUGCUCAAUGGGAGAAAUCCUGAAGCAGCAACGCCGCGUGGAGGAUGAAGGGUUUUUAACUUGUAAACUCCUGUAAAGAAGGAAAAAAUUCCCAUUAGAUGGGAAAUGAUGGUACUUCUGGAGUAAGCCCCGGCUAACUACGUGCCAGCAGCCGCGGUAAUACGUAGGGGGCAAGCGUUGUCCGGAUUUACUGGGUGUAAAGGGUGCUCAGGCGGAUUUGUAAGUCAGAGGUGAAAUCUCACAGCUUAACUGUGAAACUGCCUUUGAUACUGCAAGCCUAGAGUAUGGAAGAGAGUGAUGGAAUAUCUGGUGUAGCAGUGAAAUGCGUAGAUAUCAGAUAGAACACCAAUGGCGAAGGCAGUCACUUGGUCCAUAACUGACGCUAAAGCACGAAAGCGUGGGUAGCAAACAGGAUUAGAUACCCUGGUAGUCCACGCCCUAAACGAUGAAUACUAGAUGUUGGCUUCGCAUGAAGUCAGUAUCUGAGCUAACGCAUUAAGUAUUCCACCUGGGAAGUACGAUCGCAAGGUUGAAACUUAAAGGAAUUGAC
rnacentral:rRNA from 1 species